UUGCAUGAUGUGAGUAUAGGUUGUGAGAUUUAAAUAUCAUAACUAUCCCAGCCAUGUUGCAAACAAAAGUAAUUCGUGUUGACAUCUAACUCGAAUUAAUCCUAAUCAUUGACAUUAUUCAAGGGAACCCUUUUCUUGCAUUAUUUUCUAAUCGCAUGCACAAACAUGCCAUGUUUGCUAACCAGCAGCUCAAUUAGUUAAUGGUUAGCAAGUCAUAAGCAUUUUGUGUACGAGCAAGUUGGUGCCUCACUCUACGAAUGUGGGCUCUAAUCCCUGAUGGAACUCAUUCCCAAAGUAAUAGAAAAUGCUAAAAACAUUAUCAUUGUAUCACUUGUUUGCCAGGACCAAGCUGGCGAGAACACACUUGAUGGUGUAAAGGGAAACCCCAUGCUUGUGUCAAGUGAAACCUCAUGCUGUGAUGAGAGAUCUGCUUUUGGUGCGAAGGGGUACUUCCUCCUGCUGCUGAGAACAUCCUCCUGCUAAAGGCCAGUAGUGUCAAAAGGUCCCUGCUGGUGUGGAUACCUCCUGCUGCUGUGAAGGGAAACUUGCUGCCUAUGUGAACUGAACCAUCCUGCUAAAUUUAAGGGUAACCUCCUGCUGGUGUGAACUGAAGUAUGCUGCUUGUGUGAAGCUGGACAUCCUGCUAGAAUCAGGGAUAAUCUCCUGGUGCUGAGAGAAUCCCAAGAGUGCUGAGAGGUGUUUUCCUUCUGUGUGCCUCGUCUUCAGUUGCAGUGAAGAGAAUCUUCGGAAGUACAGAUAUGUAGUGAAGUGACCAUGCUGGCGAGAACACACUUGAUGGUGUAAAGGGAAACCCCAUGCUUGUGUCAAGUGAAACCUCAUGCUGUGAUGAGAGAUC